rnacentral:rRNA from 1 species
GGGGAGUACGUUGCUCGGACUAUUGCGGCGUAAGGGCUCGCAGGCGGUUUCUUAAGUCUGAUGUGAAAGCCCCCGGCUCAACCGGGGAGGGUCAUUGGAAACUGGGAAACUUGAGUGCAGAAGAGGAGAGUGGAAUUCCACGUGUAGCGGUGAAAUGCGUAGAGAUGUGGAGGAACACCAGUGGCGAAGGCGACUCUCUGGUCUGUAACUGACGCUGAGGAGCGAAAGCGUGGGGAGCGAACAGGAUUAGAUACCCUGGUAGUCCACGCCGUAAACGAUGAGUGCUAAGUGUUAGGGGGUUUCCGCCCCUUAGUGCUGCAGCUAACGCAUUAAGCACUCCGCCUGGGGAGUACGGUCGCAAGACUGAAACUCAAAGGAAUUGACGGGGGCCCGCACAAGCGGUGGAGCAUGUGGUUUAAUUCGAAGCAACGCGAAGAACCUUACCAGGUCUUGACAUCCUCUGACAACCCUAGAGAUAGGGCUUUCCCUUCGGGGACAGAGUGACAGGUGGUGCAUGGUUGUCGUCAGCUCGUGUCGUGAGAUGUUGGGUUAAGUCCCGCAACGAGCGCAACCCUUGAUCUUAGUUGCCAGCAUUCAGUUGGGCACUCUAAGGUGACUGCCGGUGACAAACCGGAGGAAGGUGGGGAUGACGUCAAAUCAUCAUGCCCCUUAUGACCUGGGCUACACACGUGCUACAAUGGACAGAACAAAGGGCUGCGAGACCGCAAGGUUUAGCCAAUCCCACAAAUCUGUUCUCAGUUCGGAUCGCAGUCUGCAACUCGACUGCGUGAAGCUGGAAUCGCUAGUAAUCGCGGAUCACAUGCGCGGGGGGGAAUAACUUUCCCGGGGCCUUGUACACACCGCCCGUCACACCACCGAGAGUUUGCAACACCCGAAGUCCGGUGAGGUAACCUUUAUGGAGCCAGCCGCCGAAGGUGGGGCAGAUGAUGGGUGAUAGA